rnacentral:rRNA from 1 species
ACACGCAUGACACACUGCAUAUCAAUAAGCGGAGGAAAAGAAACUAACAAGGAUUCCCUUAGUAACGGCGAGUGAAGCGGGAAGAGCUCAAAUUUGAAAUCUUCAAGGUUCUACCUUGACGAAUUGUAGUUUAAAGAAGUGUUUUCUGUUGGAGUUUCGGUAAAAGUUCUUUGGAAUAGGACAUCAUAGAGGGUGAGAAUCCCGUAUUUGUACCAUUCUUUCUAGCUGUGUGAUACACUUUCAACGAGUCGGAUUGUUUGGGAACGCAGUCCAAAAUGGGUGGUAAAUUUCAUCUAAAGCUGAAUAUUGGCGAGAGAUCGAUAGCGAACAAGUACCGUGAGGGAAAGAUGAAAAGAACUUUGAAAAGAGAGUUAAACAGUACGUGAAAUUGUCAAAAGGGAAGCGUUUGACACCAGUGUUGUUUUUCCGAAAAUCAAUUACGAAUGUUUUGUUUUUAAGAAGUUAUGACUUCAUCGGCUUGCUUCUUUCUUUACGAAACUUUCUUAAUGCACUUUUCGGUUAACAAGUCAACAUCAAUUUCUUUUGUUGUAAAAGGGUAUGAGGAAGGUGGCUUUCUUUUCGGAGAAAGUGUUUAUAGCCUUGUACCUCUGCAAUCGGAGAGAUUGAGGUCUGCAGCGUAGAUCCUUCGGGGUUAGAUACAUUUGUGCUAAGUUAUAGCUUUUCAUAGACAACUUGUUGACUAUGUUAAGUCUUGUAGCUUACUCGCUUAUGCUAUUUUACCUACGCUUAGGAUGUUGACUGAUAUGUAGUCGUA